rnacentral:rRNA from 1 species
UACGGGGGGGGGCAAGCGUUGUUCGGAAUUACUGGGCGUAAAGCGUGCGCAGGCGGUGAUGUAAGACAGGUGUGAAAUCCCCGGGCUUAACCUGGGAACUGCAUUUGUGACUGCAUCGCUGGAGUGCGGCAGAGGGGGAUGGAAUUCCGCGUGUAGCAGUGAAAUGCGUAGAUAUGCGGAGGAACACCGAUGGCGAAGGCAAUCCCCUGGGCCUGCACUGACGCUCAUGCACGAAAGCGUGGGGAGCAAACAGG